UACGUAGGGGGCAAGCGUUGUUCGGAUUCAUUGGGCGUAAAGGGUGCGUAGGUGGCGCGCUAAGUCAGGUGUGAAAUUUCGGAGCUUAACUCCGAAACUGCAUUCGAUACUGCGGUGCUUGAGGACUGGAGAGGAGACUGGAAUUCAUGGUGUAGCAGUGAAAUGCGUAGAGAUCAUGAGGAAGACCAGUGGCGAAGGCGGGUCUCUGGACAGUUCCUGACGCUGAGGCACGAAGGUCAGGGGAGCAAACGGG
rnacentral:rRNA from 1 species